rnacentral:rRNA from 1 species
AUGGAGCGGCGCAGCACGGCGAGCUCGGGCUCGUCCAUCUACUCGCAGGCGGCCGGUAAGGUUGAUGGGGUCGGGAUUGUGCAGCUCGUCUCCGAGUUCUAUCUUCCCGAUGACACCUACUGUGGAUUGGAGUAUCGUUCAAAGCAUCGUUGCCCUGGUCACGACCUUGUUCCAGCCCGCCGUGUUUCUUGGGGAGGGGCAAGCACAGGCCGCCGGUUUUUAGGGUGUCCUUUAGACGGAAGAGAUUGUGAAUUUGAGCAUGUUUUAGUUCUUCUUUAUGAAAAAUCUAAUUUUUGGUAA